rnacentral:rRNA from 1 species
AGUGAACGCUGGCGGUAGGCCUAACACAUGCAAGUAGAACGGCAGCACAGUAAGAGCUUGCUCUUACGGGUGGCGAGUGGCGGACGGGUGAGGAAUACAUCGGAAUCUACUUUUUCGUGGGGGAUAACGUAGGGAAACUUACGCUAAUACCGCAUACGACCUACGGGUGAAAGCAGGGGAUCUUCGGACCUUGCGCGAUUGAAUGAGCCGAUGUCGGAUUAGCUAGUUGGCGGGGUAAAGGCCCACCAAGGCGACGAUCCGUAGCUGGUCUGAGAGGAUGAUCAGCCACACUGGAACUGAGACACGGACCAGACUCCUACGGGAGGCAGCAGUGGGGAAUAGUGGACAAUGGGCGCAAGCCUGAUCCAGCCAUACCGCGUGGGUGAAGAAGGCCUUCGGGUUGUAAAGCCCUUUUGUUGGGAAAGAAAAGCAGCAGGUUAAUACCCCGCUGUUCUGACGGUACCCAAAGAAUAAGCACCGGCUAACUUCGUG